UCCGCUGUAGCUCAGUGGUAGAGCGCUGCACUUGUAUAAUAUUCUUUAGGAUAUAUAAUUAAGGUGAUGCAGAGGUCCGUUGUUCAAUCCAGCGUAGCGGAA